rnacentral:rRNA from 1 species
GAUGAACGCUGGCGGCGUGCCUAAUACAUGCAAGUCGAGCGAACGGACGAGAAGCUUGCUUUUCUGAUGUUAGCGGCGGACGGGUGAGUAACACGUGGAUAACCUACCUAUAAGACUGGGAUAACUUCGGGAAACCGGAGCUAAUACCGGAUAAUAUUUUGAACCGCAUGGUUCAAAAGUGAAAGACGGUCUUGCUGUCACUUAUAGAUGGAUCCGCGCUGCAUUAGCUAGUUGGUAAGGUAACGGCUUACCAAGGCAACGAUGCAUAGCCGACCUGAGAGGGUGAUCGGCCACACUGGAACUGAGCCACGGUCAAGACUACUACGGGAGGCAGCAGUAGGGAAUCUUCCGCAAUGGGCGAAAGCCUGACGGAGCAACGCCGCGUGAGUGAUGAAGGUCUUCGGAUCGUAAAACUCUGUUAUUAGGGAAGAACAUAUGUGUAAGUAACUGUGCACAUCUUGACGGUACCUAAUCAGAAAGCCACGGCUAACUACGUG